UACGUAGGGUGCAAGCGUUGUCCGGAAUUAUUGGGCGUAAAGAGCUCGUAGGCGGUUUUGUCGCGUCUGCUGUGAAAAACCCGAGGCUCAAACCUCGGGCCGCAGUGGGUACGGGCAGACUAGAGUGCGGUAGGGGGAGAUUGGAAUUCCUGGUGUAGCGGUGGAAUGCGCAGAUAUCAGGAGGAACACCAAUGGCGAAGGCAGAUCUCUGGGCCGUAACUGACGCUGAGGAGCGAAAAGCAUGGGGGAGCGAACAGG
rnacentral:rRNA from 1 species